rnacentral:rRNA from 1 species
UGACUACGCUGCUUGCCAUGCAGUCGAGCGGAAGGCCCUUCGGGGUACUCGAGCGGCGAACGGGUGAGUAACACGUGAGCAACCUGCCCCUGACUCUGGGAUAAGCCCGGGAAACUGGGUCUAAUACCGGAUAUGACCACCGUCCGCAUGGUCUGGUGGUGGAAAGUUUUUCGGUUGGGGAUGGGCUCGCGGCCUAUCAGCUUGUUGGUGGGGUAGUGGCCUACCAAGGCGACGACGGGUAGCCGGCCUGAGAGGGCGACCGGCCACACUGGGACUGAGACACGGCCCAGACUCCUACGGGAGGCAGCAGUGGGGAAUAUUGCGCAAUGGGCGGAAGCCUGACGCAGCGACGCCGCGUGGGGGAUGACGGCCUUCGGGUUGUAAACCUCUUUCAGCAGGGACGAAGUUGACGUGUACCUGCAGAAGAAGCGCCGGCUAACUACGUGCCAGCAGCCGCGGUAAUACGUAGGGCGCAAGCGUUGUCCGGAAUUAUUGGGCGUAAAGAGCUCGUAGGUGGCUGGUCGCGUCUGCCGUGAAAGCCCGCAGCUUAACUGCGGGUCUGCGGUGGAUACGGGCCGGCUAGAGGUAGGCAGGGGCAAGUGGAAUUCCUGGUGUAGCGGUGAAAUGCGCAGAUAUCAGGAGGAACACCGGUGGCGAAGGCGGCUUGCUGGGCCUUACCUGACGCUGAGGAGCGAAAGCGUGGGGAGCGAACAGGAUUAGAUACCCUGGUAGUCCACGCUGUAAACGUUGGGCGCUAGGUGUGGGGGUCUUCCACGACUUCCGUGCCGGAGCUAACGCAUUAAGCGCCCCGCCUGGGGAGUACGGCCGCAAGGCUAAAACUCAAAGGAAUUGACGGGGGCCCGCACAAGCGGCGGAGCAUGUUGCUUAAUUCGACGCAACGCGAAGAACCUUACCAAGGUUUGACAUCACCCGGAAAGCUGCAGAGAUGUGGCCCUCUUCGGACUGGGUGACAGGUGGUGCAUGGCUGUCGUCAGCUCGUGUCGUGAGAUGUUGGGUUAAGUCCCGCAACGAGCGCAACCCUUGCUCCAUGUUGCCAGCAGCGGAUUCGUCCGGCUGGGGACUCAUGGGGGACUGCCGGGGUCAACUCGGAGGAAGGUGGGGAUGACGUCAAGUCAUCAUGCCCCUUAUGUCUUGGGCUGCAAACAUGCUACAAUGGCCGGUACAGAGGGUUGCGAUACCGUGAGGUGGAGCGAAUCCCUAAAAGCCGGUCUCAGUUCGGAUUGGGGUCUGCAACUCGACCCCAUGAAGUCGGAGUCGCUAGUAAUCGCAGAUCAGCAAUGCUGCGGUGAAUACGUUCCCGGGCCUUGUACACACCGCCCGUCACGUCACGAAAGUCGGCAACACCCGAAGCCCGUGGCCCAACCCGUAACCGGUGACGCGCGAGAGAUGACCUAGUA